GGGGUUGUGGCUCAGUGGUAGAGCACUCGCCUAGCAUGUGUGAAGCACUGGGUUUGAUUCUCAGCACCACA
rnacentral:tRNA from 1 species